UACAGGGGGUGCAAGCGUUGUUCGGAAUUAUUGGGCGUAAAGCGCGUGUAGGCGGACCAUUAAGUCUGGUGUGAAAUCCCUCGGCUUAACCGAGGACGUGCAUUGGAUACUGGUGGUCUUGAGUCCUGGAGAGGGUAGCGGAAUUCCCAGUGUAGAGGUGAAAUUCGUAGAUAUUGGGAGGAACACCGGUGGCGAAGGCGGCUACCUGGACAGUGACUGACGCUGAGACGCGAAAGCAUGGGUAGCAAACAGGAUUAGAUACCCUGGUAGUCCAUGCCGUAAACGAUGGGUGCUAGUUGGUGCGGGUAUUGACCCCUGCGCUGACGAAGCUAACGCGUUAAGCACCCCGCCUGGGGAGUACGGCCGCAAGGCUAAA
rnacentral:rRNA from 1 species